rnacentral:rRNA from 1 species
UACGUAGGGUGCGAGCGUUAAUCGGAAUUACUGGGCGUAAAGCGUGCGCAGGCGGUUUUGUAAGCCAGAUGUGAAAUCCCCGGGCUUAACCUGGGAAUGGCAUUUGGGACUGCAAGGCUGGAGUGCGGCAGAGGAGACUGGAAUUCCUGGUGUAGCAGUGAAAUGCGUAGAUAUCAGGAGGAAUACCGAUGGCGAAGGCAGCCCCCUGGGGUAACACUGACGCUCAUGCACGAAAGCGUGGGGAGCAAACAGG